UACGGGGGGGGGCAAGCGUUGUUCGGAAUUACUGGGCGUAAAGGGCUCGUAGGCGGCCAACUAAGUCAUACGUGAAAUCCCUCGGCUUAACCGGGGAACUGCGUCUGAUACUGGAUGGCUUGGAUCCGGGAGAGGGAUGCGGAAUUCCAGGUGUAGCGGUGAAAUGCGUAGAUAUCUGGAGGAACACCGGUGGCGAAGGCGGCAUCCUGGACCGGUAUUGACGCUGAGGAGCGAAAGCCAGGGGAGCAAACGGG
rnacentral:rRNA from 1 species